AUGGAUCACCCAGAAGAAACAAUCUUAGGAAGAAAGGAAGAUCCAAUCAGAAUAAGAGCCAGCUUCAGAAAUUCUGAAGAAUCCCUCAUGGGACUUGUUUCUCUGAUUGAACCUUCUUCAAUUGAUGAAGCACUUCUGGACAACGACUGGAUUCUAGCAAUGCAAGAAGAGCUGAAUCAAUUCACCAGAAAUGACGUGUGGGAUCUAGUUCCCAGACCAAAAGGAUUCAACGUCAUUGGAACAAAAUGGGUGUUCAGAAACAAACUGAACGAACAAGGUGAAGUCAUCAGAAAUAAAGCACGGCUGGUAGCACAAGGUUAUAGUCAGCAAGAGGGAAUAGACUAUACAGAAACCUUUGCUCCAGUCGCCAGGUUAGAAUCUAUCAGACUUUUAAUUUCUUUUGCUGUUAAUAAAGGCAUCACUCUAUAUCAGAUGGAUGUCAAGAGUGCAUUCUUAAAUGGUUAUAUAGAAGAAGAGGUUUAUGUGCACCAACCCCCUAGUUUUGAAAGUACAAAAAAUCCA